rnacentral:rRNA from 1 species
GAUGAACGCUGGCGGCGUGCUUAACACAUGCAAGUCGAGCGAAGCACAUAAGCUUGAUUCUUCGGAUGAAGACUUUUGUGACUGAGCGGCGGACGGGUGAGUAACGCGUGGGUAACCUGCCUCAUACAGGGGGAUAACAGUUAGAAAUGGCUGCUAAUACCGCAUAAGACCACAGUACUGCAUGGUACAGUGGUAAAAACUCCGGUGGUAUGAGAUGGACCCGCGUCUGAUUAGGUAGUUGGUGAGGUAACGGCCCACCAAGCCGACGAUCAGUAGCCGACCUGAGAGGGUGACCGGCCACAUUGGGACUGAGACACGGCCCAGACUCCUACGGGAGGCAGCAGUGGGGAAUAUUGCACAAUGGGCGAAAGCCUGAUGCAGCGACGCCGCGUGAAGGAUGAAGUAUUUCGGUAUGUAAACUUCUAUCAGCAGGGAAGAAAAUGACGGUACCUGACUAAGAAGCCCCGGCUAACUACGUGCCAGCAGCCGCGGUAAUACGUAGGGGGCAAGCGUUAUCCGGAUUUACUGGGUGUAAAGGGAGCGUAGACGGCUGUGCAAGUCUGAAGUGAAAGGCAUGGGCUCAACCUGUGGACUGCUUUGGAAACUGUGCAGCUAGAGUGUCGGAGAGGUAAGUGGAAUUCCUAGUGUAGCGGUGAAAUGCGUAGAUAUUAGGAGGAACACCAGUGGCGAAGGCGGCUUACUGGACGAUGACUGACGUUGAGGCUCGAAAGCGUGGGGAGCAAACAGG